UAAUGAAAGAAGUAUGAUAAUGUGUACAAAAAUUGAAUUGGGUCUCUAGGUAUGCCCUCUCUGAUACCAUUUGGCUUAGAUUAGGGAGGCAUGGUUGGCAACAAAAUAG